ensembl:misc_RNA Metazoa_SRP Metazoan signal recognition particle RNA
GCUGGGCGUGGUGGCUCACGCCUGUAAUCCCAGCACUUUGGGAGGCUGAGGUGGGUGGAUCACCUGAGGUCAGGAGUUCUAGACCAGCCUGACCAAUAUGAUGAAACCCCAUCUCUA